CUGGUUUCGCCCGAAGUGCGUGYGYCAACCGCAAGGAGGCAGCGCCCUAAGGCAAGACUGGUAACUGGGRUGAAGUCGUAACAAGGUAGCCGUARGUGAACCUGCARAAGGAUCA
rnacentral:rRNA from 1 species